AUUGAACGCUGGCGGCAGGCUUAACACAUGCAAGUCGAGCGGUAACAGAGAGUAGCUUGCUACUCUGCUGACGAGCGGCGGACGGGUGAGUAAUGCCUAGGAAUCUGCCUAGUAGUGGGGGAUAACUUGCCGAAAGGUAAGCUAAUACCGCAUACGUCCUACGGGAGAAAGCAGGGGACCUUCGGGCCUUGCGCUAUUAGAUGAGCCUAGGUCGGAUUAGUUAGUUGGUGAGGUAAUGGCUCACCAAGACCGCGAUCCGUAACUGGUCUGAGAGGAUGAUCAGUCACACUGGAACUGAGACACGGUCCAGACUCCUACGGGAGGCAGCAGUGGGGAAUAUUGGACAAUGGGGGCAACCCUGAUCCAGCCAUGCCGCGUGUGUGAAGAAGGUCUUAGGAUUGUAAAGCACUUUAAGUUGGGAGGAAGAGCAGUUAACUAAUAUUUGACUGUUUUGACGUUACCGACAGAAUAAGCACCGGCUAACUUCGUGCCAGCAGCCGCGGUAAUACGAAGGGUGCAAGCGUUAAUCGGAAUUACUGGGCGUAAAGCGCGCGUAGGUGGUUCGUUAAGUUAGGAGUGAAAGCCCCGGGCUCAACCUGGGAAUUGCUUCUAAAACUGGCGAGCUAGAGUAUGGUAGAGGGUGGUGGAAUUUCCUGU
rnacentral:rRNA from 1 species